CCUACGGGAGGCAGCAGUGAGGAAUAUUGGUCAAUGGGCGAGAGCCUGAACCAGCCAAGUCGCGUGAGGGAGUACUUCCCUAUGGGUUGUAAACCUCUUUUGUCGGGGAGCAAAAGCCGGACGUGUCCGGCUGUGAGAGUACCCGAAGAAAAAGCAUCGGCUAACUCCGUGCCAGCAGCCGCGGUAAUACGGAGGAUGCGAGCGUUAUCCGGAUUUAUUGGGGUUAAAGGGGGCGCAGGCGGGUUUUUAAGUCAGCGGUCAAAUUGUGGGGCUCAACCCCAUCCAGCCGGUGAAACUGGGGAUUCAGAGUGUGCGAGAGGUAUGGGGAAGGCGGGGUGGAGCGGUGAAAUGCAUAGAUAUCACGCAGAACCCCGAUUGCGAAGGCAGCAUACCGGUGCACAACUGACGCUCAGGCACGAAAGCGUGGGUAUCGAACAGGAUUAGAUACCCUGGUAGUC
rnacentral:rRNA from 1 species